GCCCGUUGGAGUUGCUCUUAGUUUGGACGAUAGUUGAAAUGUAUGGUACCCCUUUGUUGAGAUGGACGGACGCCGGAGAAAAUUUGUGAUCGUAGAUGCCCUUCCACCACGCCAUUACGAAUCACUGUACGUAUCCCGCACAUCAUUGGGCAAAAUCCAUGGCCGUCCCGGUUCAAAAGUUACCACCGCCGGUCCGGCGAGCCCGACCCGGGCCCCGCUGCCGCGCCGCUCCGCACGGAGACCAAGCGCCCACCAUUCUCCAAAAACACGCAGCCCCCUCCGCGCUACCGUUCCAACUCCACACUUCUCCUCCUCUCCUCUCCUCUCUUCUCCCCGCCUCGGAUCCCCUUUCCUUUCCUCCCGCCCUCGGCCGCGGCGCGCGACGCCUCCGCCCGGCCCGUCCCCCGGAUGGGGUACCUCUCCUGCCGGGCGGACUCGUCCGCGGCGACGUGCCGCUCCAUCACGGCCAUCUCGCCGCUCCCCAUCUCGCGCCGCUCACGGCCCCCCGCCGCCGCAGGGCUGCCGCCCGCCGCCCCCCCGGAGAUCGAACGCUUCGCGUACGACGACCUGGAGGCCGCCACGUCCCGCUUCGCCGACGCCGCGCUGCUCGGCCGGGGCAGCCACGGGGCCGUCUACAAGGCCGUGCUCCCCUCGGGCCGCGCCGUCGCCGUCAAGCGGCCCUCCCCGCGCCGCGCCGAGGUGGACAACGAGAUCCGCAUCCUCUCCUCCGUGCGCGGCCCGCGCCUCGUCAACCUCCUCGGCUACUCCGACCCCGGCCCGGGCCCCGACCCGCUGCGCCGCCCGCGCCUGCUCGUCGUCGAGUACAUGCCCAACGGCACGCUCUACGACCUGCUCCACUCCAACCCGCGCCCGCCCGGCUGGCCCCGCCGCGUCCGCCUCGCGCUGCAGACCGCCAGGGCGCUCCGCGCGCUCCACGACGCCGAGCCCGCCGUCAUCCACCGCGACGUCAAGUCCGCCAACGUCCUGCUCGACGCCCACCUCGACGCGCACCUCGGCGACUUCGGCCUCGCCCUCCGCGUCCCCAAGCGGGACGGCGGCCCCGGCAAUGCCGCCACGCCGGCGCCCGCGGGCACGCUCGGCUACCUCGACCCGGCCUACGUCACCCCGGAGAGCCUCAGCACCAAGACCGACGUCUUCAGCUUCGGGAUCCUGCUGCUGGAGAUCAUGAGCGGACGCAAGGCCAUCGACGUUCAGUACUCGCCGCCCUCCGUCGUCGAGUGGGCGGUGCCCCUGCUACGCAAGGGGAAGGUCGUCGCGCUGUUUGACCCACGGGUGGCGCCGCCCCGCGACCCAGUCACUCGGAGGGACCUGGCUUCGCUGGCGGCGAGCUGUGUGCGGUCCUGCCGGGAGCGACGGCCUUCAAUGGCUGACAUUGUUGAGCGGCUCGCCGUCAUCAGCAAGGCGGUGUCUGCCAAGGUGUGGAACGGGAUGGCGGUGGUAGGGAACCCUUGCGCCAUUGUUGAUGUUCAGAAGACCAUCUCGAAGCGAGCUGCUGCAUCGGAGAAGGAAUCGACUUCAGCAUUGGCAUUUGAUGAUGAUGAUAAGGAGGCAGAUGCGACCUUGGAGGAGCUGGUGCCGCUGGUGGGUGCCAAGAAACCACCACGGCCGUUGAAGAACGGAAAGGUGUUCUCUGAGGCAGGGGAUGGUGAGAGGAGAAAUCUAUUGGAGCUGAUGGCUCGGAUUGAUGGUGUUGCUGGCCAAAGAUUUGGCAUCAGUCGGGCAAGAACAGUGCGCGGCACUAGUGAUCUUAUACAAAAGGAUGCAGUCUUGAUCCUGAGGAGGAACCAAACCGUAAGAGUGGUUGAAUCAGAGGCACUCGGUAAAGUUGAAAGGGUUUCGUGUUUAGAUGCAAGCAUCAAGCAUAAACCUGCAAAAGAAUUUCAAGAGAAACCAGAGAAAAUGCAAGACAAGGCCGAUGGAGUGCAAGAGAGAGCAGAGAAAAUCCAAGAGAAGGAAGGCAAAAUCCAAGAAAAUCCAGGGGAAAUUGAUAAAGUUGAGAAUAUCCAAGAAAAGACGGGGCAAAUCCUUGACAAAGCUGAGAAAAUCGAAGAAAAGACAGGGCAGAUCCUUGACAAAGCGGAGAAAAUCCAAGGCACGCCGGAGAAAGUCCAAGAAAAUGAAAGAAAAAUCCAAGAGCACACGGAGGUAGUCCAACACAAUGUGGAGAAGAUCCAAGACAAAGCAGAGAAGAUCCAAUGCAAGUUGAAACAAAGUUAAAAUCACACAAUUAUUCUUGAGGCCAGCUUGAUGAAUUAUUGUUGGCAGUCGAUCUCAAGGACAAAGCUCAUCAAGUCAUGAGGUACCACCACCAAUCUUACUCUUCUGGUGCUGGGAUGGUAAUAUCUGAUCCAUCCAAAUAGGAUGGCCUGGCUGUGACUUGUGAUGAUUCACCAGUAAGACCUAGGAAUUCAAAUCCUAGCUAGGUGGUCCGUCAUUUGCAGCAUUACCACUGUGCCAGCAAUGUUAUCAAAGGUCACAUGGUACUGGUACUGUCAAAACUCUGAAGCCUGAACGACAACACAGUCCAGCACGUCGUGAGAUGAUGAUACAGCACUUGGGUGCUGUUAAUGCAAUCCACACUCCGUGUAAGCAACUGAUGUUCAUUUUGCCGCUUCAGAUCAAAUCAUGUGGAGCUUCAAAAUGGACAUCCGUUGAAGGCAUGCAUGCCUUAGUUGAAAUAGAUUGUUGUUGUAGCUUUUGUGCAGCUUCCUUGAUUCUUUUUCCUGUGUCUGCGUACAAGAAUCAACAAGUGCCCCAUUGAUUGAUUUGUAUGUAAACAGGACGGCUGAUGAAGUGGAUGUUAAGAGGGAAAAAAAUUUAUUUUGACAUUUCCAUCUUAUCUUGAGGCUUUGAUUGGGAACGCACGGCGGAUGGUGGCUAGUCUUUUCCUGAGCAUCCUUCAACAGGUUUUGAUUGGGCGCGUCGUUCUUAUCUAUUUUGAAUUUGGUUGGUGCAUUCAUUGCCAAUAUAUUCAUCACAUGAAAUGUGUGGGACAACUGAACAUUGCCGUCCUUGCUUCCAUAUGAAUGUUUUGCCCAGCUGUCUGCGUCGUCAUAUGGACUCGAUGCAUUCUUUAAUGUGCAUAUGGGGCAUCUAUAGGAUAUAAUUAUCUCAGAAAUGCCCAGAAGUUUUGGGGUUUAUUGGUUUGUUCAUAGCAGGGCAGUACAUGCUCUCUUCACUCUUGGUAUUGCUUUUGCCGGCCAGCAGAAGAGGUUAUGAACACUACAGUCUUAUUAGCUUGAUCAAGAUCUACCUUGUAUCUUUGUCAAAUCAGCAAUGUAAUUCUGUGGAAGAAGUGCAUGUAUAUGGGGGGUGGGGUGGUACAAGAGUGGGUGAGAGUGAGCAUGGGAAGUAGGAACAUGAUGCAUGAUACUUUGUACCCUAACACUGUAUGCCUAUUACAUUUGUGUCAUGGAG
rnacentral:rRNA from 1 species